AACAAGCCGAGUGUGCACAAUAUUCAUUCAAACUGACAGAGGCUGUGUGUGUGUCCUGGUUUGCGCUCCCUCUCUCCCUCCCUCUCGCCAGACAGUCUGCAGUUUAAAGCAGCAGGAAGAAGACACCGGAGAGACACCGGAGAAGGAGCACGGGGGGGGGGGAAGAGUGUGUUAAGCGACCGUCAAAGGAGGAAGAGAAACAGGAAAAGGGAGGAGGGAGGAAGUGAGAGGAAGAGUAGGGAUUCGGUGAAGAGCGGCGGCGGCGGCGGCGAGUGGGAGAAGAGAGUAGAGGAUGAAAGAAAAAGAGAGUGGUUGCUCAUCGGGAGGGGUGAAGGAGGUGUAGCGAUAGAGGAAUGCAGAGAAAGAGGGACGGAGACGCUACAGCUCCUGCAGAAGAUGAUGAUGAUGAUGAGGGAGGUGCAACUGUAUGAAGAGUCCUGUGCUUCCAUGAUGCCAUGAAACAGUCCAGUCUAUGGCAGCCAGGUAAGUCAUUCAGACUCUUAACCAGCGAUGUGGUGGCGAAUAAAAA